CCUACGGGAGACAGCAGUGAGGAAUAUUGGUCAAUGGACGAGAGUCUGAACCAGCCAAGUAGCGUGAAGGAUGCCUGCCCUAUGGGUUGUAAACUUCUUUUAUCUGGGAAUAAAAUGUUCCACGUGUGGGAUUUUGUAUGUACCAUAUGAAUAAGGAUCGGCUAACUCCGUGCCAGCAGCCGCGGUAAUACGGAGGAUCCGACCGUUAUCCGGAUUUAUUGGGUUUAAAGGGAGCGUAGGUGGAAUGUUAAGUCAGUUGUGAAAGUUUGCGGCUCAACCGUAAAAUUGCAGUUGAAACUGGCAGUCAUGAGUACAGUAGAAGUGGGGGGAAUGCGUGGUGUAGCGGUGAAAUGCUGAGAUAUCACGAAGAACUCCGAGUGCGAAGGCAGUACACUGGACUGCAACUGACACUGAGGCUCGAAAGUGUGGGUAUCAAACAGGAUUAGAUACCCGUGUAGUC
rnacentral:rRNA from 1 species